GACGAACGCUGGCGGCGUGCUUAACACAUGCAAGUCGAACGGUAAGGCCCUUCGGGGUACACGAGUGGCGAACGGGUGAGUAACACGUGGGUGAUCUGCCCUGCACUUCGGGAUAAGCCUGGGAAACUGGGUCUAAUACCGGAUAGGACUCCUGGCUUCAUGGUUGGGGGUGGAAAGCUUUUGCGGUGUGGGAUGGGCCCGCGGCCUAUCAGCUUGUUGGUGGAGUAAUGGCCUACCAAGGCGACGACGGGUAGCCGGCCUGAGAGGGUGACCGGUCACAAUGGGACUGAGAUACGGCCCAGACUCCUACGGGAGGCAGCAGUGGGGAAUAUUGCACAAUGGGCGCAAGCCUGAUGCAGCGACGCCGCGUGAGGGAUGACGGCCUUCGGGUUGUAAACCUCUUUCAGCUAUGACGAAGCGCAAGUGACGGUAGUAGCAGAAGAAGGACCGGCCAACUACGUGCCAGCCGCCGCAGUAA
rnacentral:rRNA from 1 species